AUCUUCUUUCUUCAAGAAACAGCCCCUUCACAUCCUCCAAACUCAGCCCCAAAACACCCAAGCCAAACCCCAAGAUUUGUAGGCCGAAAAUCCACCGAGCCUUUGGUUUUCUUACUCCUUCAUCUUCGAUUUCUUGCUCUUGGGUUCUCCAAGCUUUUUAGGAGGCCGGCGGAGUGGAGUUCGAGGAAUCGCUAGCCUUGAUGCCUUGACUGUUUAACCCGGAUUUUUAUCACGUCAACGAUUUCUAAAAUAUCUAGCCAAGAUAUCGAUUUUUAAUUUUGUAUUCUGAUUUGGGAACCCAGUCUAUUAAACGGGGGUAUCUUAAAUAAAGUUUAUUUCCUUCCGCUGUCUUACGAGUGUUUUCUAAACCCCG